GCUAGGGCGAUGUUGCGUGGUGUGGGGUGGGGGCGUGGGGACCGGCGGGCUGCUUGGUGGGUGGCUGGGGAGGCACUGACGCCUCCGGAGAGAGAGGGGCCUUGCCCUGGGUGCCAGGACGAGGGCCAGGAGGCGAGGAAUGUAAGAGGCCUCUACAAGUUGGAAAAGCUCCCUCAGAGUCUCCAGAGUCUCCAGACACCUUGAUUUUAUCCCGAUGAGGCCCACUUUGGAGUUCUAAGGCUCUAGAAUUAAACUAAUCAGAUGAUUCAGAAGGCCACAGCUAUGGGCAACUGGUGAUUGGC